GUGGCUCACCUGAUUUGAAGAGCUUGCUCAGAUAUGACGAUGGACAUUGCAAAGAGUGGCGAACGGGUGAGUAACACGUGGGAAACCUACCUCUUAGCAGGGGAUAACAUUUGGAAACAGAUGCUAAUACCGUAUAACAAUAGCAACCGCAUGGUUGCUACUUAAAAGAUGGUUCUGCUAUCACUAAGAGAUGGUCCCGCGGUGCAUUAGUUAGUUGGUGAGGUAAUGGCUCACCAAGACGAUGAUGCAUAGCCGAGUUGAGAGACUGAUCGGCCACAAUGGGACUGAGACACGGCCCAUACUCCUACGGGAGGCAGCAGUAGGGAAUCUUCCACAAUGGGCGAAAGCCUGAUGGAGCAACGCCGCGUGUGUGAUGAAGGGUUUCGGCUCGUAAAACACUGUUGUAAGAGAAGAAUGACAUUGAGAGUAACUGUUCAAUGUGUGACGGUAUCUUACCAGAAAGGAACGGCUAAAUACGUGCCAGCACCGGGGGUAAUACGAA
rnacentral:rRNA from 1 species